UACGUAGGUGGCGAGCGUUGUCCGGAUUUACUGGGCGUAAAGAGCGCGCAGGCGGUCGUUCAAGUCGAAUGUGAAAGCCCCCGGCUUAACUGGGGAGGGUCAUUCGAUACUGAUCGACUCGAAGGCAGGAGAGGGAAGCGGAAUUCCCGGUGUAGUGGUGAAAUGCGUAGAUAUCGGGAGGAACACCAGUGGCGAAGGCGGCUUCCUGGCCUGUUCUUGACGCUGAGGCGCGAAAGCUAGGGGAGCAAACGGG
rnacentral:rRNA from 1 species